UACAAGACAGAAAUAUGAUUCUUAUAUUGAAAAAGGUCUUAUAGAAGCAAUGAACUUCUGUUCAGGAGACGAAUUUUGAAAAGUAUACUGAUAACAUAACUUUCAACUUAGUAGCCAAGCUCCCAGAAAUGACGCUUGUCGAAAAAUGUAUUAGAUUCUUCAACUCUUGAACUCAAAAAUUAUAUAGUCUCCAGAUAUUGGAUCAUAAAUGAGAUUCAGAACUCAGUCUGGUCUGGAUCAAUAUUUUAAUUUGGACCGUUCACAAAAUUGGCUAAGCUUCUACAAUACACGAAAAAAAGCGGAGACCUCAUUAAAACAGCCAGCCGCUAGUCCAUAGAGAAAGGAAUACCGUAUUCCUUUCUCUAUGCGCGAGCCCUAGAAGCUAGAACAACCUGUAACAAUUUUUGGAUUUCGAAAAAGGGGGGCAUGGAACAGUUUUGAAUAUUUUUGAUGAAUCUUUGGAACAUUUGGAUUUGAAUAAUUUUGCACUUGAAACAUCUCUGGAACAAGUUUUUGAUUUUUGGAAUGGAUUGUAUAAGUAUGUAUAAAUAUGUACAUACAUAUGUUUUUUUGGAUUUCUUAUUAUAAUU